AGUCUCAUCGGAUAAGGGGUCCCUUGUGAAAGCGGGCCUCUUUUCGGACUUGGACGGUCUUGCCUUCGCUCGAAGGCUCGUCUUCAAAUUCAUCGGCGAGGGUUUCCAGUCCCCCUACGAGACGCGUGAUAAGUCUUGCGUCGUCCGGGGUAAGGAGCCCGCGUCUCUAUCACUCUUUUAACG
rnacentral:misc_RNA from 1 species